rnacentral:rRNA from 1 species
CCUACGGGAGGCAGCAGUGGGGAAUCUUAGACAAUGGGCGCAAGCCUGAUCUAGCCAUGCCGCGUGAGCGAUGAAGGCCUUAGGGUUGUAAAGCUCUUUCAGCUGGGAAGAUAAUGACUGUACCAGCAGAAGAAGCCCCGGCUAACUCCGUGCCAGCAGCCGCGGUAAU